CGUACCUUUUGUAUAAUGGGUCAGCGACUUACAUUCAGUGGCAAGCUUAACCGAGUAGGGAAGGCGUAGCGAAAGCGAGUCCGAAUAGGGCGUCUAGUCGCUGGGUGUAGACCCGAAACCAGAUGAUCUAUCCAUGGCCAGGUUGAAGAUGCCGUAACAGGCAUUGGAGGACCGAACCCACAAAUGUUGAAAAAUUUGGGGAUGAGCUGUGGAUCGGAGUGAAAGGCUAAUCAAACCGGGAGAUAGCUGGUUCUCCUCGAAAUCUAUUUAGGUAGAGCG
rnacentral:rRNA from 14 species